GACGAACGCUGGUGGCGUGCUUAACACAUGCAAGUCGAACGGGAUUUAGUAAACAGAAGCCUCGGUGGAAGAUUACUAAUGAGAGUGGCGAACGGGUGAGUAACGCGUGAGCAACCUGCCUAUGACAGUGGGAUAGCCUCGGGAAACCGGGAUUAAUACCGCAUAGCAUCGUAGAAACACAUGUUUUAACGUUCAAAGAUUUAUCGGUCAUAGAUGGGCUCGCGUCUGAUUAGCUAGUUGUUGAGAUAACAGCCCACCAAGGCGACGAUCAGUAGCCGGUCUGAGAGGAUGAACGGCCACAUUGGAACUGAGACACAGUCCAAACUCCUACGGGAGGCAGCAGUGGGGGAUAUUGCACAAUGGGGGAAACCCUGAUGCAGCGACGCCGCGUGAACGAAGAAGGUAUUCGUAUCGUAAAGUUCUGUCCUAUGGGAAGAUAAUGACAGUACCAGAGAAGAAAGCUCCGGCUAAAUACGUG
rnacentral:rRNA from 1 species